rnacentral:rRNA from 1 species
GACGUAGGGUGCGAGCGUUGUCCGGAAUUAUUGGGCGUAAAGGGCUCGUAGGCGGUCUGUCACGUCGGGAGUGAAAACACGGGGCUUAACCCCGUGCCUGCUUCCGAUACGGGCAGACUAGAGGUAUGCAGGGGAGAACGGAAUUCCUGGUGUAGCGGUGAAAUGCGCAGAUAUCAGGAGGAACACCGGUGGCGAAGGCGGUUCUCUGGGCAUUACCUGACGCUGAGGAGCGAAAGUGUGGGGAGCGAACAGG